AUGGCGCCAACACGGUGGCUACUGCUUAUCUGCCUCGCCGGUGCGGCGGGUGGCGUACUCCAAGCUCGCGCCCAGCCUGACAGCAACGGGUUCAUAAGCAUAGAUUGCGGUCUUCCAGGCAAGACGAGCUACGUGGAAGACACCACCAAACUCCCCUAUACUCCAGAUGCCGGCUUCACCGACACCGGCACCAACCACAACAUCUCGGCCGAGUAUUUAACCCCGUCAACCGGCAGGAGCUGGCACAAUCUGCGAAGCUUCGCCACUGGCCCGCGCAAUUGCUACACGCUCCUCUCUCUCACGUCCGGUCUCAAGUACCUCGUCCGAGCCAAGUUCAUGUAUGGAAACUACGACGGCCUUGACAGGCCACCCGUGUUUGACCUCUAUGUUGGCGUCAACCUGUGGACGACGGUAAACAUCACGGGCCCGGAAGGGAUGGUGUCCACAGAGGUUAUUAUUGUGGUGCCGGACGACUUCUUGCACGUCUGCCUGGUGAACACCGGCGCCGGGACGCCCUUCAUGUCUAGCCUGGAGCUCAGGCUGCUGCACAGGACACUCUACCCGCAGGCAACCACGACGCAGGGCCUCGUCCUCUCGUCCAGGCUCAACUUCGGCCCAACUAGCGAAAACAAUGUCAUCAGGUGA
rnacentral:rRNA from 1 species